rnacentral:rRNA from 1 species
GAUGAACGCUGGCGGCGUGCCUAAUACAUGCAAGUCGAGCGAAGCGGGGACGGGUGAGUAACACGUGGAUAACCUCCUAUAAGACUGGGAUAACUUCGGGAAACCGGAGCUAAACCGGAUUCUUCUAUCUGGUUCCGCGCUGCAUUAGCUAGUUGGUAAGGUAACGGCUUACCAAGGCAACGAUGCAUAGCCGACCUUAGAGGGUGAUCGGCAACACUGGAACUGAGACACGGUCCAGACUCCGACGGGAGGCAGCAGUAGGGAAUCUUCCGCAAUGGGCGAAAGCCUGACGGAGCAACGCCGCGUGAGUGAGGAAGGUAUUCGGAUCGUAAAACUCUGUUAUUAGGGAAGCGGUACCUAAUCAGAAAGCCACGGCUAACUACGUGCCAGCAGCCGCGGUAAUUC